rnacentral:rRNA from 1 species
AACGAACGCUGGCGGCAUGCCUAACACAUGCAAGUCGAACGAGACCCCUGACUUCGGUUGGCGGGUCUAGUGGCGCACGGGUGCGUAACGCGUGGGAAUCUGCCCUUGGGUUCGGAAUAACUCAGAGAAAUUUGAGCUAAUACCGGAUGAUGACGAAAGUCCAAAGAUUUAUCGGCCCAGGGAUGAGCCCGCGUAAGAUUAGCUUGUUGGUGGGGUAAUGGCCUACCAAGGCGACGAUCUUUAGCUGGUCUGAGAGGAUGAUCAGCCACACUGGGACUGAGACACGGCCCAGACUCCUACGGGAGGCAGCAGUGGGGAAUAUUGGACAAUGGGCGCAAGCCUGAUCCAGCAAUGCCGCGUGAGUGAUGAAGGCCUUAGGGUUGUAAAGCUCUUUUACCAGGGAUGAUAAUGACGUACCUGGAGAAUAAGCUCCGGCUAACUCCGUC